GACGAACGCUGGCGGCGUGCUUAACACAUGCAAGUCGUACGGUAAGGCCCUUUCGGGGGUACACGAGUGGCGAACGGGUGAGUAACACGUGAGUAACCUGCCCACAACUUUGGGAUAACGCUAGGAAACUGGUGCUAAUACUGGAUAUGUGCUCCUGCUGCAUGGUGGGGGUUGGAAAGCUCCGGCGGUUGUGGAUGGACUCGCGGCCUAUCAGCUUGUUGGUGGGGUAGUGGCCUACCAAGGCGGCGACGGGUAGCCGGCCUGAGAGGGUGACCGGCCACAUUGGGACUGAGAUACGGCCCAGACGCCUACGGGAGGCAGCAGGGGGGAAUAUUGCACAAGGGGCGCAAGCCUGAUGCAGCAACGCCGCGUGCGGGAUGACGGCCUUCGGGUUGUAAACCGCGUUCAGCAGGGACGAAGCUUUUUGUGACGGUACCUGCAGAAGAAGCACCGGCUAACUACGUG
rnacentral:rRNA from 1 species